GCCAGGUGCAGUGGUGCACACCUGUAAUCCCAAAGGCUCAGGGGGCUGAAGUAGGAGGAUCACGAGUUCAAAACAAGCCUCAGAAAAAGGGAAGUGCUAAGCAACUCAGUGAGACCCUGUUUCAA
rnacentral:sRNA from 1 species